rnacentral:rRNA from 1 species
GACAGAGGGUGCAAACGUUGUUCGGAAUUACUGGGCGUAAAGCGCGUGUAGGCGGCUCGGCAAGUCGGAUGUGAAAGCCCUGGGCUUAACCUAGGAAGUGCAUUCGAAACUGCCAAGCUUGAGUUCUGGAGAGGAAGGCGGAAUUCUCGGUGUAGAGGUGAAAUUCGUAGAUAUCGGGAGGAACACCAGUGGCGAAGGCGGCUCUCUGGACAGGUACUGACGCUGAGACGCGAAAGCGUGGGUAGCAAACAGG